rnacentral:rRNA from 1 species
UACGGGGGGGGUAAGCGUUGUUCGGAAUUACUGGGCGUAAAGGGCUCGUAGGCGGCCAACUAAGUCGGACGUGAAAUCCCUCAGCUUAACUGGGGAACUGCGUCUGAUACUGGAUGGCUUGGAUUUGGGAGAGGGAUGCGGAAUUCCAGGUGUAGCGGUGAAAUGCGUAGAUAUCUGGAGGAACACCGGUGGCGAAGGCGGCAUCCUGGACCAACAUUGACGCUGAGGAGCGAAAGCCGGGGGAGCAAACGGG